rnacentral:rRNA from 1 species
AUUGAACGCUGGCGGCAUGCUUUACACAUGCAAGUCGAACGGCAGCACGGGUGCUUGCAUAUGGUGGCGAGUGGCGAACGGGUGAGUAAUAUAUCGGAACGUACCCGGAAAUGGGGGAUAACGUAGCGAAAGUUACGCUAAUACCGCAUAUGCCCUGAGGGGGAAAGCGGGGGAUUCGUAAGAACCUCGCGUUUUCGGAGCGGCCGAUAUCGGAUUAGCUAGUAGGUGAGGUAAAGGCUCACCUAGGCGACGAUCCGUAGCUGGUCUGAGAGGACGACCAGCCACACUGGAACUGAGACACGGUCCAGACUCCUACGGGAGGCAGCAGUGGGGAAUUUUGGACAAUGGGCGCAAGCCUGAUCCAGCCAUGCCGCGUGAGUGAAGAAGGCCUUCGGGUUGUAAAGCUUUUUCAGCCGGAAAGAAAACGCACAAGUUAAUACCCUGUGUGGAUGACGGUAC